rnacentral:miRNA from 1 species
GGUGGGGCAAUGGGAUCAGGU